rnacentral:rRNA from 1 species
UACGAAGGGGGCGAGCGUUGUUCGGAAUUACUGGGCGUAAAGGGCGCGUAGGCGGACUCUUAAGUCGGUGGUGAAAUCCUGGAGCUCAACUCCAGAACUGCCUUCGAUACUGGGAGUCUCGAGUUCGGGAGAGGUGAGUGGAACUGCGAGUGUAGAGGUGAAAUUCGUAGAUAUUCGCAAGAACACCAGUGGCGAAGGCGGCUCACUGGCCCGAUACCGACGCUGAGGUGCAAAAGCGUGGGGAGCAAACAGG